rnacentral:tRNA from 1 species
AAACGGGAGAAGCCCCGGAGCCCUUUAUGGGCUCUUCUUCAAACUUGCAUUUUGACGUAAAUCACUUCGGAGCU